rnacentral:rRNA from 1 species
AUGCACGCUGGCGGCGUGCCUAAUACAUGCAAGUCGAGCGAACAGACGAGGAGCUUGCUCCUCUGACGUUAGCGGCGGACGGGUGAGUAACACGUGGAUAACCUACCUAUAAGACUGGGAUAACUUCGGGAAACCGGAGCUAAUACCGGAUAAUAUAUUGAACCGCAUGGUUCAAUAGUGAAAGACGGUUUUGCUGUCACUUAUAGAUAGAUCCGCGCCGCAUUAGCUAGUUGGUAAGGUAACGGCUUACCAAGGCAACGAUGCGUAGCCGACCUGAGAGGGUGAUCGGCCACACUGGAACUGAGACACGGUCCAGACUCCUACGGGAGGCAGCAGUAGGGAAUCUUCCGCAAUGGGCGAAAGCCUGACGGAGCAACGCCGCGUGAGUGAUGAAGGUCUUCGGAUCGUAAAACUCUGUUAUUAGGGAAGAACAAAUGUGUAAGUAACUAUGCACGUCUUGACGGUACCUAAUCAGAAAGCCACGGCUAACUACGUG